CGCCCCCUAUACGUCAUCAUUGAGUAAACUUUGACCCGGAACCUCACAGUCAGCAGACACUUCCUGGGAGGGAGGGUCUGCUGCUGAUUGGGUGGAAUGUGUCUGCUGGCUGUGAGGUUCCGGGUCAAAGUUUACUCAAUGAUGACGUAUAGGGGGCG
rnacentral:miRNA from 1 species